UUGAUUAUGGAUCUGGCCUUGUC
rnacentral:siRNA from 1 species